rnacentral:rRNA from 1 species
UUGUAAACUCGGUAUUUCCUACGGCGCUGCGGAGGGAUCAUUACCGAGUUUACAACUCCCAAACCCAAUGUGAACGUUACCAAACUGUUGCCUCGGCGGGAUCUCUGCCCCGGGUGCGUCGCAGCCCCGGACCAAGGCGCCCGCCGGAGGACCAACCAAAACUCUUUUGUAUACCCCCUCGCGGGUUUUUAUAUCUGAGCCAUCUCGGCGCCUCUCGUAGGCGUUUCGAAAAUGAAUCAAAACUUUCAACAACGGAUCUCUUGGUUCUGGCAUCGAUGAAGAACGCAGCGAAAUGCGAUAAGUAAUGUGAAUUGCAGAAUUCAGUGAAUCAUCGAAUCUUUGAACGCACAUUGCGCCCGCCAGUAUUCUGGCGGGCAUGCCUGUCCGAGCGUCAUUUCAACCCUCGAACCCCUCCGGGGGGUCGGCGUUGGGGAUCGGCCCUUUACGGGGCCGGCCCCGAAAUACAGUGGCGGUCUCGCCGCAGCCUCUCCUGCGCAGUAGUUUGCACACUCGCAUCGGGAGCGCGGCGCGUCCAUUGCCGUUAAACACCCAACUUUCUGAAAUGUUGACCUCGGAUCAGGUAGGAAUACCCGCUGAACUUAAGCAUAU